GGUGUGGUACUAUAACGAUUAGAGUCGACUUGCAUUCGGAUAAUAGGCACAUAUUGCCUCCAUGCUU
rnacentral:tRNA from 1 species